UACGAAGGGGACUAGCGUUGUUCGGAAUCACUGGGCGUAAAGGGCGUGUAGGCGGGAAGGAAAGUCAGAUGUGAAAUCCCUGGGCUCAACCCAGGAACUGCAUUUGAAACUCCCUUUCUUGAGUACCGGAGAGGAAGGUGGAAUGCCUGGUGUAGAGGUGAAAUUCGUAGAUAUCAGGCGGAACACCAGUGGCGAAGGCGGCCUUCUGGACGGUAACUGACGCUGAGACGCGAAAGCGUGGGGAGCAAACAGG
rnacentral:rRNA from 1 species